rnacentral:piRNA from 1 species
UCCUUUGGUCAGGGACAGGUCCAAG